GACCUAUCCAGAGCGGUGGAGGGAAAGGCCCGAUGAAACCCGGCAACCAGCUUUUGCAUGGUGCCAAUACCUUCAGAAAUCUGAGUGAUGGGAU
rnacentral:ncRNA from 2 species